UGCUGAUUGGUGCAUUUACAAACCUUGAGC
rnacentral:piRNA from 1 species